rnacentral:rRNA from 1 species
GAUGAACGCUAGCGGCAGGCCUAACACAUGCAAGUCGAACGGUAACAUGAGUAGCAAUACUUGAUGACGAGUGGCGCACGGGCGCGUAACGCGUAUGCAACUUACCUCUAACUGGAGAAUAGCCUUCCGAAAGGAAGAAUAAUACUCCAUAAUAUUACGAUGUGGCAUCACAUUGUUCUUAAAGCUUCGGCGGUUAGAGAUGGGCAUGCGUCUGAUUAGCUUGUUGGUGAGGUAACGGCUCACCAAGGCAACGAUCAGUAGGGGGCCUGAGAGGGUUAUCCCCCACACUGGUACUGAGACACGGACCAGACUCCUACGGGAGGCAGCAGUGAGGAAUAUUGGUCAAUGGACGAAAGUCUGAACCAGCCAUGCCGCGUGCAGGAUGAAUGCCCUAUGGGUUGUAAACUGCUUUUAUAUAGGAAUAAACCCCUUUACGUGUAAAGGGCUGAAGGUACUAUAAGAAUAAGGACCGGCUAACUCCGUGCCAGCAG